GGGGGACAGGGUGACAGGUGGUGCAUGGUUGUCGGUCAGGCUCGUGUCGUGAGAUGUUGGGUUAAGUCCCGCAACGAGCGCAACCCUCGCCUCUAGUUGCCAGCAUCGGUUGGGGCACUCUAGAGGGACUGCCGGCGACAAGUCGGAGGAAGUGGGGAUGACGUCAAAUCAUCAUGCCCCUUAUGACCUGGGCUACACACGUGCUACAAUGGGCGGUACAAAGGGCUGCGAACCCGCGAGGGGAGCGAAUCCCAAAAAGCCGCUCUCAGUUCGGAUUGCAGGCUGCAACUCGCCUGCAUGAAGCCGGAAUCGCUAGUAAUCGCGGAUCAGCAUGCCGCGGUGAAUACGUUCCCGGGCCUU
rnacentral:rRNA from 1 species